GCUCGCGUGGCGGAACUGGCAGACGCAACGGACUUAAAAUCCGUCGAACUAAUACUUCGUGCCGGUUCGAUCCCGGCCGCGAGCACCA
rnacentral:tRNA from 1 species